UACGAGGGGUCCAAGCGUUGUUCGGAAUCAUUGGGCGUAAAGCGGGUGUAGGCGGCCUAACAAGUCAGAAGUGAAAGCCCCGGGCUCAACCUGGGAAGUGCUUUUGAAACUGUUAGGCUUGAGUGUGGUAGAGGAAAGUAGAAUUCCAGGUGUAGUGGUGAAAUACGUAGAUAUCUGGAGGAACACCGGAGGUGAAGACG
rnacentral:rRNA from 1 species